GCACCUCAUAAAACGGGUGCCGGGAUUGGCGUCCUGAAAAUUCUGAAGGCGACAUAUGACGCGCCGAGCGUCUUUUUU
rnacentral:sRNA from 3 species